rnacentral:rRNA from 1 species
UGGCGAACGGGUGAGUAACGCGUGAGGAACCUGCUCAAAGAGGGGACGAACAGUUGGAAACGACUGCUAAUACCGCAUAAGCCCACGACCCGGCAUCGGGUAGAGGGAAAAGGAGCAAUCCGCUUUGAGAUGGCCUCGCGUCCGAUUAGCUAGUUGGUGAGGUAAUGGCCCACCAAGGCGACGAUCGGUAGCCGGACUGAGAGGUUGAACGGCCACAUUGGGACUGAGACACGGCCCAG